AAAAAAGCCUCAUAAGCCGCAAUUAAUGACAAAGUUCAGAAAAAGCUGAGUACUACAAACAUUGACAGCAAGGAAAAUUCAAUUUAAUUACAGGCCUAAAACAUUCCAAGAUACACAAUUUAACACUAAUUUCAAAUGCACAGAUUUGUACAAAAAGAAUUCAGAGCUUUCCAUAUUAUUUCAAAAGUGUCAAAAUCCAAAUCCCUCCCAGAAGUUGUAAAAAGCUUCCUAUUUUUCUAUUUAUACCACUUUUUUGUUACCCUGCAAAUAGUGUAAAUAAAUAUCCAUAGGAGGACGCAAUCAUUUUGAGCAGAAGAUCAAUGAACUUUAUGAUCUGACUUCAAUCUCAACCACUGUUUUUUGAGUCCCAACCUGGAAUAUUAGCUGUAGCUUCAUUUACCAUCUUUACAAGUCUCACCACACUUUCAGGAACUCCCGGUGGGGGCAAGGAGAGGUUCUUUGGUGGAGAUCCACUUAGAUAGGAUCUCUUGUCAAAUCGACA
rnacentral:misc_RNA from 1 species